ACGAAGGGUGCAAGCGUUAAUCGGAAUUACUGGGCGUAAAGGGUGCGUAGACGGUUUGUUAAGUCGGAUGUGAAAGCCCCGGGCUCAACCUGGGAACUGCAUCCGAAACUGGCAGGCUAGAGUGCGAUAGAGGAUGGUGGAAUUCCCGGUGUAGCGGUGAAAUGCGUAGAGAUCGGGAGGAACAUCUGUGGCGAAGGCGGCCAUCUGGAUCAGCACUGACGUUGAGGCACGAAAGCGUGGGGAGCAAACAGGAUUAGAUACCCUGGUAGUCCACGCCCUAAACGAUGUCGACUGGAUGUUGGUCACAAUUUGGUGAUCAGUAUCGAAGCUAACGCGUUAAGUCGACCGCCUGGGGAGUACGCACGCAAGUGUG
rnacentral:rRNA from 1 species